GAACCUGCGGAGGGAUCAUUGCUGGAACGCGCCCCAGGCGCACCCAGAAACCCUUUGUGAACUUAUACCUUACUGUUGCCUCGGCGCAUGCCGGCCCCCAGGGGCCCCUCGGAGACGAGGAGCAGGCACGCCGGCGGCCAAGUUAACUCUUGUUUUUACACUGAAACUCUGAGAAAAAAAAACAAAAUGAAUCAAAACUUUCAACAACGGAUCUCUUGGUUCUGGCAUCGAUGAAGAACGCAGCGAAAUGCGAUAAGUAAUGUGAAUUGCAGAAUUCAGUGAAUCAUCGAAUCUUUGAACGCACAUUGCGCCCUCCGGUAUUCCGGAGGGCAUGCCUGUUCGAGCGUCAUUUCAACCCUCAAGCACUGCUUGGUGUUGGGGCACUGCCUUUUCCGGAAGGCAGGCCCUGAAAUUCAGUGGCGAGCUCGCCAGGACCCCGAGCGCAGUAGUUAAACCCUCGCUUUGGAAGGCCCUGGCGGUGCCCUGCCGUUAAACCCCCAACUCUUGAAAAUUUGACCUCGGAUCAGGUAGGAAUACCCGCUGAACUUAAGCAUAUCAAUAAGCGG
rnacentral:rRNA from 1 species